rnacentral:rRNA from 1 species
UACGUAGGGGGCAAGCGUUGUCCGGAUUUAUUGGGCGUAAAGAGCGUGUAGGCGGCCAGAUAGGUCCGUUGUGAAAACUCGAGGCUCAACCUCGAGACGCCGAUGGAAACCAUUUGGCUAGAGUCCGGAAGAGGAGAGUGGAAUUCCUGGUGUAGCGGUGAAAUGCGCAGAUAUCAGGAGGAACACCGGUGGCGAAGGCGGGUCUCUGGGCCGAUACUGACGCUGAGGAGCGAAAGCGUGGGGAGCGAACAGG